AACGAACGCUGGCGGCAGGCUUAACACAUGCAAGUCGAACGCGAAAGUCCUUCGGGAUGAGUAGAGUGGCGGACGGGUGAGUAACGCGUAGGAAUCUAUCCUGUAGUGGGGGAUAACGUUUCGAAAGGAACGCUAAUACCGCAUACGCCCCAAGGGGGAAAGCGGGGGAUCUUCGGACCUCGUGCUAUAGGAGGAGCCUGCGUCGGAUUAGCUAGUUGGUGAGGUAAAGGCUCACCAAGGCGACGAUCCGUAGCUGGUCUGAGAGGAUGAUCAGCCACACCGGAACGGAAGCACGGUCCGGACUCAUACGGGAGGCAGCAGUGGGGAAUAUUGCGCAAUGGGCGAAAGCCUGACGCUGCCAUACCGCGUGUGUGAAGAAGGCCUUCGGGUUGUAAAGCACUUUCAGUGGGGAGGAAAAGCUGGUGGCUAAUAUCCAUCGGCCGUGACGCUACCCACAGAAGAAGCACCGGCUAAUUCCGUGCCAGCCGCCGCAGUAA
rnacentral:rRNA from 1 species